UACGUAGGUGGCGAGCGUUACUCGGAAUUACUAGGCGUAAAGCGUAUGUAGGCUGUCGUAUAAGUCUAUGGUGAAAUUUCCUGGCUCAACUGGGAAGGGACAUAGAUACUGUAUGGCUUGAGUGUUGGAGGGGGAGACGGAAUUCCUGGUGUAGCGGUGAAAUGCGUAGAUAUCAGGAGGAACACCGAUGGCGAAAGCAGUCUCCUGGCCAAAUACUGACGCUGAGGUACGAAAGCUAGGGUAGCAAACAGGAUUAGAUACCCUGGUAGUCCUAGCUGUAAACGAUGUUCACUAGAUGUGGGAGGUAUCGACCCCUUCCGCGUCGACGCUAACGCAUUAAGUGAACCGCCUGGGGAGUACGGCCGCAAGGUUGAA
rnacentral:rRNA from 1 species